GAGGUAUGUGUUAGGGUUUUAAUUCCUAUAUAUACGCCAGGUAGAGGCCAUAUUUCCGAACGGCUCCCAGCCUCCGAAAGGGGGAAGGCGGGAGGAUGUCUGAGAUCUCGGCGAACGGAUCUUUGAGAGCAGUAUUGUGGGCUGCUUUGCUUUCCCUUUGAUGCCCUACUGCUGCAGAGGAAGGAAUAGAGUAGUAGUUAUGAUGGGUGGGGACUGAGAGAUAUUCUUCUGCUGGAGCAGCAGGAAAUGAUGGUGAGCUUCCCCAGAUUGCCUCCCACUUAGACCACACAAUGGAUCAUCUUCUCCCAGCCACAACGUGAUUCUGGAUUGAAGUAAUCUUGCAACACCGAUGGCCAUGUUCCUCCUACCACUGAGACAAAAGUUUACAGCAAAUCCAUCAUUCACUCUAAAGAUCUGUAGCUUCUGGGCAGCAUGGGCAUUAUAAUCCUUGGAAAGAGCUUGCAACGCAUGUUCACUGGCCUCAGAUCAUUCUCAGAUGAUCAAGUUGCUGCAGAUUAUACCUUCUGGUAGAGAUAACUUGGAAAACAGUUUCUGGAUCGAGGUUGUUGACCCUGAUCUCUUGGGGGUUUCUUUGAACCCCAUGAAGUUGUUGGAUCUUAUUGAUGGCGGCAAGGAAACUUUAUCAUCCUCUUUGGAGAUCAAUGAUGAGACAUGUUCUUGUUCUUCUGCCGCAUUAGCAGAGGAAUCCUUGGAUUUUGAUGAGAUUGAGGAUUUGAGGCUGCAUAAGAAAUUGUUCUACAAUCUCAACAAGGGUUAUAAAGAAUUCAAAGGGUAUAAUGUACAGUUCCAUUGCAAGAAAUCAGCUAAAAAGUGUCAUGAAAGGACAACAGAACUGAUAUAAAGGACUUCAAUGAUGUAGAAGAAGAAACAAAAAGUUAUUAAGCCAAACGUGGCUAAAGCUUUGGAACAAGGGGUGUAAGUCCAGUAAUAAAAAAUGUACAUUUAGGUACUAAAUCAAUCAUAAUGAAGGAAAAAAGGGGUGAGAAUGCUGGCAAUUAACCAGCUCACUGAUCCAUACCUUUUACCAUUCUGUCUUUAUAAUCUAUGUUUCCAAAAGGGUCAGUUUGUGCUUGCACUUUUCAUAGGAUCAUGAGCAAGGUGAUCGCUGUGGCACACUCUAUCUUGAAGGACAUAAAGUCAAGGAAAGAUGCAUCUGCUUGUACUGCUGUUUUUAAAAUGUGGUCUGCACACCAAGAAAAGGGGAAUGAAUUGAAGGGAAGAUUCAGAUUGUCUUCAAUUGAUCAUUGAUCAUUGAUCAUGGUAUUGAUGUGAAGGUGAAGCUGAAGCAAAGCGGCCUACCAAGGUAUGUAUUCUUUGUGGACCUUCAAUUAAGGUUGUCUACAGAUAUCUUUUUAAGUGUUGUCCAGUUAGUUCUGUUUUAGCAUUCAAGUUCCCAUGAUUUGCAGCCCUCUUUUGAAGGUAUAGACUUAAAAUCUGUAAGAUUGGGUUUUAGGUUAUUAUUAGACAGUCCUGCUUGUUACUGUCUCAUAAAUGUAAUGUUAAAUCAUAUAGUAAGCAUUAUUGGCUCUGAUGAUAAGUGACCUUAUAGUUUCUGUUGACCAAUUGUUUUGACAUAUUUGAUUUAUGAGAAAAAAAGUACAUUUCUUUUCUUGUA